AAAAGGGUAGCUCAGGGGUAGAGCAGCGGACUGAAAAUCCGCGUGUCGGUAGUUCAAAUCUACCCCCGGGCACCA
rnacentral:tRNA from 1 species